AGUGACCCCGGGCCAUGGGGGCCUCAGCCCUCCAACUCCAGCUGGAUUCCCAGCCUGUGACCCAACCCUCAGAUGGCCUGGGACACUCCCCAGGCUUUGAGGAGGGGGCUCCUGUUUGGUCUGGGCACGCUGAGAUGCUGAGUCCAUCUCACUGAUGUGCUUUUCACUAGAAGCUCCUGCAGAGCUUCUCGCUCCCAGCCCUUGGGAACCCGCGCUCCUACAGCUCAAGAACAGCCUCUCCUGCACCAGGGAUGUGACAUUUCCUGUGGAGCGUGUGGGGUUUUAUUUUCAUAGGAAGAAAUAAUGGAGUGAUUAAUUUAGCUGCCCGUGCUCUCAGAAGAAAAGUGCAAUAAAUCAGUAGAGCGAUACCUGAGGAAACAAACAGCCCGUGUCCCACGAGCAGAAUGAAAAUCAGCUGGAAACUUUAAGGAAAAGGCUUUAAGGAAAUUUUAAGGAAAAGGCUGAGCCCCUCACCUCCAGGGUCCCCUGGCUCACAGGUUCCUUGCUGUGUGUUGAAGAGCCAAAGCCAUGCUGAAGGAACUCCCCAAAAACUCUUCCCAGGAAAGAAGUUCUCAUGGCCUGACGUGUCUCUGUGAGCUCUGGGGUCCCUCCCACGCUGCCCUGUGGCGUUUGGGGACGAAGGAGCUCUGCUCAUUUCCUCCCAUCCUCCCGGGUCCUGCAGGGGCUGUUCCAGCCCUGGGACUCGCGGGCUCUGGGCUCUCCACAUGGUAAUAUCACCCCUGGCUUCAGAGCUUGCUGCUCCCCAGUCCAGCUCCCAUUUUAGGACAUAUUUUCCCCAAAUUGCUGCCUUAUUUGGCCUUUCCCCUGUGGUUCUGGUGACAUCACCCAGCAGGCAGUUGGUUCCAGGGCCACCACCCCGUGGGACCCCGUGAGGAGCUGCCCUGGGGA